rnacentral:rRNA from 1 species
UAUGUGAUCGUCUCUCGCAUAUCAAUAAGCGGAGGAAAAGAAACUAACAAGGAUUCCCCUAGUAACGGCGAGUGAAGCGGGAAGAGCUCAAAUUUGAAAUCUUAAAGGGUUUCCCUUUACGAAUUGUAGUUUAAAGAAGUGUUUUCUGUUGAGGUUUUGGUAAAAGUUCUUUGGAAUAGGACAUCAUAGAGGGUGAGAAUCCCGUAUUUGACCUUUACUUUCAACUUUGUGAUACACCUUCAAAGAGUCGGAUUGUUUGGGAAUGCAGUCCAAAAUGGGUGGUAAAUUUCAUCUAAAGCUAAAUAUUGGCGAGAGACCGAUAGCGAACAAGUACCGUGAGGGAAAGAUGAAAAGAGCUUUGAAAAGAGAGUUAAACAGUACGUGAAAUUGUCAAAAGGGAAGCGUUUGACACCAGUGUUGUUUUUCUGAAAAUCAAUUAAAGAACUGUUUAUGCUAAGUUGUUUAGACUUUAUCAGCUAACUGUUUAGUUUUGAGCUUUUCUUUAAUGCACUUUUCAGUUAACAAGUCAACAUCAAUUUCUUUUGCUGUAAAAAAGCUUGAGGAAGGUGGCUUGAGAUUCGUCUUAAGUGUUUAUAGCCUCUUGCCUAUGCAGUCGGAGAGAUUGAGGUCUGCAGCGUAGAUCCUUCGGGGCUAAAUGCAUUUGUGCUAAGUUAUAGCAUUUUAUAGACAACUUGUUGACUAUGAUUUGUCUUGUAGCUUACUCGCUUAUGUUAUUUUACCUACGCUUAGGAUGUUGAAUCUGUGCGAGACUAC